rnacentral:rRNA from 1 species
UACGUAGGGGGCGAGCGUUGUCCGGAUUCAUUGGGCGUAAAGAGCUCGUAGGCGGCUUGUCAAGUCGGGUGUGAAACCUCCAGGCUCAACCUGGAGACGCCACUCGAGACUGUCAUGGCUAGAGUCCGGUAGGGGAUCACGGAAUUCCUGGUGUAGCGGUGAAAUGCGCAGAUAUCAGGAGGAACACCGAUGGCGAAGGCAGGUCUCUGGGCAUUAACUGACGCUGAGGAGCGAAAGCGUGGGGAGCGAACAGG